UACGUAGGUGGCAAGCGUUAUCCGGAUUUACUGGGUGUAAAGGGAGCGUAGACGGUAUGGCAAGUCUGAAGUGAAAGCCCCGGGCUCAACCUGGGAAUUGCUUUGGAAACUGUUAAACUAGAGUGCUGGAGAGGCAGGCGGAAUUCCUAGUGUAGCGGUGAAAUGCGUAGAUAUUAGGAGGAACACCAGUGGCGAAGGCGGCCUGCUGGACAGUAACUGACGUUGAGGCUCGAAAGCGUGGGGAGCAAACA
rnacentral:rRNA from 1 species